AGAGGAAGAGAGAUUGGGGAGGCAGUCUGAGGGAGAGGGAAGGAAGAGGAAAGGGAUGCGGUCUGUCAGGGAGAGGGGAGGAAGAGGAGAAGAGGGAGGGGAGGUGUCGGAAAGAGAGGGCGAGAGAAACGGGAAGGGAGAAAGGGGAGGGGAAGCGGAAGGGGAAAGGGGAAGAAGGGAGAGGGAAGGUGGGCGAUGGAAAGAGGGAGAAGGGAGGGGCUGGAGGCGGCUGGGAGAGGGGCAAAGGGGAGGUGGCGGCUGGGAGAGGGGAAGGGGAGAGGAAAGGGAGAGAAAGGGGAGAGGGAGGGGAACGACGGGAGGAGGGAGAAGAGAGGCUGUUGGGAGGAAGAGAGAA
rnacentral:misc_RNA from 1 species